CAGUUGACCUCGGAUCAGGUAGGGAUACCCGCUGAACUUAAGCAUAUCAAUAAGCGGAGGAAAAGAAACCAACCGGGAUUGCCUCAGUAACGGCGAGUGAAGCGGCAACAGCUCAAAUUUGAAAUCUGGCUCCAUGCGGGGUCCGAGUUGUAAUUUGUAGAGGGUGUUUCGGGCGCGGUGCCGGUCUAAGUCCCUUGGAACAGGGCGUCAUAGAGGGUGAGAAUCCCGUCUGCGACUCGGCCGCCAACCCCGGGUGAAACCCCUUCGACGAGUCGAGUUGUUUGGGAAUGCAGCUCAAAAUGGGUGGUAAAUUUCAUCUAAAGCUAAAUACCGGCCAGAGACCGAUAGCGCACAAGUAGAGUGAUCGAAAGAUGAAAAGCACUUUGAAAAGAGAGUUAAACAGUACGUGAAAUUGUUGAAAGGGAAGCGCUGGCGACCAGACCUGUCCCCGGGCGAUCAUCGGUCAUUCGUGGCCGUGCACUCGCCCGGACGCAGGCCAGCAUCGGUUGCGGCGGCGGGACAAAGCGCCCGGGAAUGUAGCUCCCCCCGGGGAACCUUAUAGCCCGGGUGGCCAUGCCGCCCGCCGCGACCGAGGACCGCGCUUCGGCUAGGAUGCUGGCGUAAUGGUCGUCAGCGACCC
rnacentral:rRNA from 1 species